rnacentral:rRNA from 1 species
AAACCAGCACCUCAAGUGGUCAGGAGGAUUAUUGGGCCUAAAGCAUCCGUAGCCUGCUUUGUAAGUUUUCGGUUAAAUCCAUAUGCUCAACAUAUGGGCUGCCGGGAAUACUGCACAGCUAGGGAGUGGGAGAGGUAGACGGUACUCGGUAGGUAGGGGUAAAAUCCUUUGAUCUAUUGAUGACCACCUGUGGCGAAGGCGGUCUACCAGAACACGUCCGACGGUGAGGGAUGAAAGCUGGGGGAGCAAACCGGAUUAGAAACCCCAGUAGUCC